rnacentral:rRNA from 1 species
GGCUCAGGACGAACGCUGGCGGCGCGCUUACAACAUGCAAGUCGAGCGAGAACCAAGCCUUCGGGCUUGGGGACAGCGGCGAACGGGUGAGUAACACGUGGGUAAUCAACCCUCGACACUGGGAUAGCCCGGGGAAACCCGGAUUAAUACCGGAUACCCCAUCUGGCCUUCGGGCCGGCUGGAAAAGGUAGCUUCGGCCUCCGGUCGGGGACGAGCCCGCGGCGGAUUAGCUUGUUGGUGGGGUAACGGCCCACCAAGGCGACGAUCCGUAGCUGGUCUGAGAGGACGAUCAGCCACACUGGGACUGAGACACGGCCCAGACUCCUACGGGAGGCAGCAGUGGGGAAUCUUGCGCAAUGGGCGAAAGCCUGACGCAGCGACGCCGCGUGAGGGAAGAAGGCCUUCGGGUUGUAAACCUCUUUCAGGAGGGACGAAGCCACUCGGGUUAAUAGCCUAGAGGGUGACGGUACCUCCAGAAGAAGCCCCGGCUAACUACGUGCCAGCAGCCGCGGUAAUACGUAGGGGGCAAGCGUUGUCCGGAUUUAUUGGGCGUAAAGAGCGUGUAGGCGGCCAUACAGGUCAGCUGUGAAAACUCGAGGCUCAACCUCGAGACGUCGGUUGAAACCGUAUGGCUAGAGUCCGGAAGAGGAGAGUGGAAUUCCCGGUGUAGCGGUGAAAUGCGCAGAUAUCGGGAAGAACACCCAUGGCGAAGGCAGCUCUCUGGGACGGUACUGACGCUGAGACGCGAAAGCGUGGGGAGCGAACAGGAUUAGAUACCCUGGUAGUCCACGCCGUAAACGAUGGGAACUAGGUGUGGCGGGUGUCGACUCCCGCUGUGCCGAAGCUAACGCAUUAAGUUCCCCGCCUGGGGAGUACGGGCGCAAGGCUAAAACUCAAAU